rnacentral:rRNA from 1 species
CUACGGGCCGCUCCAGUGGGGAAUAUUGGACAAUGGGGGAAACCCUGAUCCAGCAAUGCCGCGUGUGUGAAGAAGGCCUGCGGGUUGUAAAGCACUUUCGGUUGGGAGGACUGCUUCUAGCACUAAUAUUGUUGGAAGUUGACGUUACCUUCAGAAGAAGCACCGGCUAACUCCGUGCCAGCAGCCGCGGUAAUACGGAGGGGUGCAAGCGUUAAUCGGAAUUACUGGGCGUAAAGCGCGCGUAGGCGGCUAGAUCAGUCGGGUGUGAAAGCCCCGGGCUUAACCUGGGAACUGCAUCCGAUACUGGCUAGCUUGAGUACAGGAGAGGAGAGUGGAAUUCCACAUGUAGCGGUGAAAUGCGUAGAUAUGUGGAGGAACACCAAUGGCGAAGGCAGCUCUCUGGCCUGAUACUGACGCUGAGGUGCGAAAGCGUGGGGAGCAAACAGGAUUAGAUACCCCAGUAGUC